rnacentral:rRNA from 1 species
UACGUAGGGGGCAAGCGUUGUCCGGAAUCAUUGGGCGUAAAGGGCGUGUAGGCGGCCCGGUAAGUCCGCUGUGAAAGUCCAGGGCUCAACCCUGGGAUGCCGGUGGAUACUGUCGGGCUCGAGUCCGGAAGAGGAGUGUGGAAUUCCUGGUGUAGCGGUGAAAUGCGCAGAUAUCAGGAGGAACACCGAUGGCGAAGGCAGGUCUCUGGGCCACUACUGACGCUGAGAAGCGAAAGCAUGGGGAGCGAACAGG